rnacentral:lncRNA from 1 species
UCUCUCUCAGGCAUUAAGAAUACAAAGGUGGAGAGGACCAGUGGAAUUGACAAUAGAGUAAUAGUUUGAACAAACAUGGUAUUGGGCAGGAUGCAUGAGAUGAUGUGUUUGGGAUUCGACAUUACCAUAAUACCUCUGGUCUUCUGUCGAAUAUCUCACAAACCAGAAUCUAAAAUGGCCACGUGAUUUUAAUUUCAAAUGGGAGGGCUUGAAAC